rnacentral:rRNA from 1 species
UACGGGGGGGGCAAGCGUUGUUCGGAAUUACUGGGCGUAAAGGGCUCGUAGGCGGCCAACUAAGUCAUACGUGAAAUCCCUCGGCUUAACCGGGGAACUGCGUCUGAUACUGGAUGGCUUGAGAUUGGGAGAGGUGAGUGGAACUGCGAGUGUAGAGGUGAAAUUCGUAGAUAUUCGCAAGAACACCAGUGGCGAAGGCGGCUCACUGGCCCGAUACUGACGCUGAGGCACGAAAGCGUGGGGAGCAAACAGG